GAUGAACGCUAGCGGGAGGCCUAACACAUGCAAGCCGAGCGGUAUUUCUUCUUCGGGAGAGAGAGAGCGGCGUACGGGUGCGGAACACGUGUGCAACCUGCCUUUAUCUAGAGGAUAGCCUUUCGAAAGGAAGAUUAAUACUCUAUAAUAUAUUAAUUGGCAUCAAUUGAUAUUGAAAACUCCGGUGGAUAGAGAUGGGCACGCGCAAGAUUAGCUAGUUGGUGAGGUAACGGCUCACCAAGGCAAUGAUCUUUAGGGGGACUGAGAGGGUGAUCCCCCACACUGGUACUGAGACACGGACCAGACUCCUACGGGAGGCAGCAGUGAGGAAUAUUGGUCAAUGGGUGCAAGACUGAACCAGCCAUCCCGCGUGAAGGAUUAAGGUCCUAUGGAUUGUAAACUUCUUUUGUAUAGGGAUAAACCUACCCUCGUGAGGGUAGCUGAAGGUACUAUACGAAUAAGCACCGGCUAACUCCGUGCCAGCAGCCGCCGCGG
rnacentral:rRNA from 1 species